rnacentral:lncRNA from 1 species
GAAAAAAAAUUAUUAUUUAUUAAUAUUUCUAAAUAUAUAACUCUUAUAUAUUAUUAAUAUAUAUUUAUUAUAGUUUUAAAUAUAUUUAAUUUAUAUAUAAAAAUUAUUAUACAUAUUUAGAAAUAUAUAUUUAUUUAUUAUAUAUAUAAUAUUUUAUUUAUAAAUUUGUAAUUAUUUAUUAAUAUCUCUAAAUAUAUUAUAUAUGAUGUAACAUGUUCAUUAUAAUUUUAAAUAUAUUUAAUCUAUGUAUAAAAAUUAUAAUAAUAUAAAAUAUAUGAAUUAUUAAAUAUUUAAUAAUAUAUAAUAAAAAUAUUAAAUAGUUUUUUUAUCUAUUCUUUUUCCUUCCAAUCAAACAACAGUCACGGAAAACUAUUUUUCUUUUCCUACAAACUAAACACUAACGACGCAAAACCGUUUUUCCACCAAAAUUUUUUUUUCACCGAAAAUUUUUUUCCACAGUUUUACUUGGAACCAAACACACCCUAAGCUUCAAAUUCUCAUGCAUUUUUUACUGGCUUGGUUAAAUAUAAUUUAUACGGUCUCAUCAGAAACUGAAGGAGCAUAUCUAUAUAUUAAAGCUGUCAAGGAGCCAAACAUAAGCGAGCUGGGACCGGCUUGUAUUCAGCUCGUUUAUGAAACAAGCCGAACACAAGCUAGCUCGUUAAAAUAUCGAGCCGUAAAAAUCAGCUCGUGUUUGAGCUAGCUCACAAACAGCAAGUUAAAAAGAUUGAAAAGAUUGUCUAAAAAUCAAAUAAUAAAAAUCAAUAUUUUACAAAUAUAGUUAUUAUUUAUAUAUAAAUAUAUAAAAUAUAUAAAUUAUAUAAAUAUAAUAUAUAUGUAUUCGAGCCGUUAUCGAGCCAAAAAUGAGCGAGCUGACUCCAGCUCGUUUUCGGCUCGUUUAUUAAACAAGCUGAAAAAUUCAGCUCAUGUUCGACUCAUUUACUAAAUUAGCAAUUCGGUAUUGAGCUCAUUUCUAGCGGACGAGCUAAACGAGCGAUUCAAUAUUGAGCUUAUUUCUAGUCGAACACAAGUUGCCUUCUAGAGCAGUGACCAGAAUUGCCAUCCGUACUAUUAUAUCCCCCACCCCAACUUAUAUAUGUCGGCCCAGUAGCUUUUUCUAAUUUUGAGGCAUUUAUAGUUGGGUCGAUGCAGUGCGUGCUGCAACGGGUGCAUGCAGUAAUUUUCCGCGCUAGAGAGAAAGAUCUACCUGACUUGUAUGCCAAGACUCGGCAAACUGGGACUUGCUUGAACGAGAAAAAAAAAAUUGUUGAAAAAAUUACUACUGUUGGAAUUCGUACAUUAGAACUUAUUCAAAAUAUUUCUAAUCUAUAUAAAAUAAUAAAUAAAUAUUUAUAAUUAUCUGAAAUAUUCUUAAUCCGUAUGGAAUAAAAAAUAAAUCUAGAAUAUAGAUUCUAAUCUGUUUAAAUCUCUAUUUAUAUAAGAUUCAGUCAGAAUAGAAUUAGAAUUAACGUCUCUCUUAUAGUCUAUAAAUAUUUGAGGUAUUAGCUAUAUGGGAUGCAAGAAAAAAAUUAAUUUAAUCUCUCUGCGAAAUUCUCUCUCUCGGGUUCGUUCUAGGGCACCAUCAAAAAUUUUAGGAAUGUGGGCAGUGUGCUGCGAUCGACUCUAAUAGCCGGAUUGCAACGAGAAAAAAUGAUUGUUGACAGAUCAAGGAGUUCGUAAAACAAGACGAAAUAAGAUUCUGAUAACUACAACAUAAAUUCCACUAUCAAGAGGUAUGUAAAAAUCUAUGUGAUUUUUGCGUCUUAUUUGGACAUUAGUUUUUUUUUUUUUCAUCAACGGUGGUA